CUACAAAGGCUAAACAUGGACAGAAUAGUCCAAAACUGUUGAAAUAUUAUGAAACUGUUUUUAAUUGUGAAACCUCCCUUCGAAUUGUGAAAUUUGUGAAUUUGUGGGGCGAGCCUGCCUUACAUGGUGUCCAGCAGUCUUGAAACUACCCAUGACAUCAGGUGAAGGAAAGUCAUUAAAUUAGCCAUCAACAUACCCCGUCACUUUGGCAGACAGUGAAGGAGGAACUCCGUGGCCAAUUUGACCCGCCGCCAUUGUUGUUGCAGAGAUCACUAUAGGAACAAGCAGGCCUGUCGUCAGGAUGCUGGGGUCCCUGAAAGCAGGAGUCCAGCUGCGUCCACCUCCGGUGUUCAUCCACCACGGGCCUCCCAUCCCCCCGCCGGGGCCCUGCCUGGCCGGAUCUGUUUUUCUAAACCGAGAGAGGAGUGACUCACCACUCCGGUUUUAAAACAGGCCAAGGACGAGGGGGAGGGCCGCACCACACGUUAAAAAGCCCUGUUUAAGCGGGCCGCUUUCAGCUCAGCACAGAUGCACCAGACCUGCUGGUUUUACUGUCUGGAAAACUGUGCACUGGCACAACUGUGGCAUUAAAGUGUUUGUUGCAGAGCAUGUUGUUGAUUUAAAAAUCGAUUACUGCAAGGCAAAUCAGUUUAACGGAGAUCAGAGAUGGGGUAGUCAUGUGAAGGUCCAGUCAGCAUCUUUUCAGAAAAAACUGCUCUGAGAAAGAAACAGGAAGAAUUACUGAAAAGAGGCCGUAUGAACAAAAAAACAAAACUAAAACUAGUGAUUACAAUGUAUUGAUCUUUGUGACAAAACAGUAAGGUGACCCAGCGAUAACAUAGAUAAGAGUUUAUCUGCUUUUAUCAAUGAACCCCUGCUGUGGGUCUUUCAGCAAACGAAACAUGCUUUUGUUCAUCUGUCCUUUCCCCCUACUAGUGGCCUCUUGUCAACGUUUUGUUUAUAACAGGUAUAUAUUACUUUAUUUUAGGGCUCUGUGCAUGAUAUUGUGUACCUCUUUUUAUAUUAGCAGGGUAGAAGCUGAAAAGAACCUUAUGAGUUCUGCUUCACAGGCUUUCUCCCCCCUCCUGUAUCACCCAAGUCCAUUUACAUAGAGUCUCCGCCCAACCUCCUCCUGCAGUGCAUGCAUUUUUACUAAGCUACAAUUUGCUUAGUCUGGUUCUUUUCCUAUUAGGUAGAAAUGCUUUAAAGGUCUCAGGGGGGAAAAAAAAAGGCUGUUUACACUGUGACAACCUCAACCAACUUUCUGAUGACAACAUCUGAUGACAAAAUAUUGACACAAAUCCAAAGUGCAGUUGUGAGAAGGUCCUCCUACACUUCCUGUGUCUCAGAAUAGGCAACAUGUGUGGUUUAGCUGAAGUUCUGUUCUUUGACACUGUUCUUUCCUCUACUGAAACCUCUUGCAGUGAAAAGGUGAAUUUUCCACAGAGUUAGUAAUUUCAUUGUUUAUAGCAGUCAAUAUUUUUAUUGCUCAAUAUUCACUGCCUAUUUUUGCAGUAGUAUGAGUUAUUUUCAGAUUGUGUUGAAACAUGAACAUCUUGUAAAAAUCAUCAUGUCUGUAUUAAUUAAGCUUUUUAAAUCACAUUUACUAAAACUACCAACAACACCCAAAUAAAUAUUCAUAUAACUUCUGUGAUUUUGAUUGAUAUGCAGUAAUGUUUCAUGUAUUACAAAUUUCACAAUGGAAAUACAGUGUAGAAGCAUUUGAAAGUAAAAAAAACCUAAUAAAAAUAAAUUAGAAUUUAGAAUAAAGUACAUAGAUGUGGAAUAAUUGUACUCAUUUGUUAUUUCAUCAUACGCUCUUUUAGAUGUGUUCUUACAAAAGGUUAGUUGUGUGUUAUUUUUAAUGUAUAUUUUACCUUAUUACAUAUUUUACUUAAAAAAAAGUUUCACAUUUAGUUUUUUAACUACUAGACGGUAAAUAACUUAAAACUUUUCUCUUUAACCCUUUUACAACCAAAAUCAUACAUAGUAGAACCGUAGAAUUGUGA